UACGAAGGGGGCUAGCGUUGCUCGGAAUCACUGGGCGUAAAGCGCACGUAGGCGGGUUUUUAAGUCAGGGGUGAAAUCCUGGAGCUCAACUCCAGAACUGCCUUUGAUACUGAGGAUCUCGAGUCCGGGAGAGGUGAGUGGAACUCCGAGUGUAGAGGUGAAAUUCGUAGAUAUUCGGAAGAACACCAGUGGCGAAGGCGGCUCACUGGCCCGGUACUGACGCUGAGGCGCGAAAGCGUGGGGAGCAAACAGG
rnacentral:rRNA from 1 species